UAGGAGGGCAUUUUGGGGUUGUUUCGGGGCAUUUUGGGUGUCCUUUUGUGGGUUUUGGGGCCGUUUUGGGUCCUUUUGGGCCGUUUUCGGGCGCUGCUGACGCUGCCCCGCAGACAUGCGGCGGGACGUGCAGGAGACGUGGGGUUUUGGGGCCAUUUUGGGGCAUUUUGGGGUGUUUUUGGUGCUGACGCUGCCCCGCAGACAUGCGGCGGGACAUGCAGGAGAUGUGGGGUUUGGGGGCUGGUUUUGGGGCAUUUUGGGGCCAUUUUGGGGCAUUUUGGGCGCUGCUGACGCUGCCCCGCAGACAUGCGGCGGGACAUGCAGGAGAUUUGGGGUUUUGGGGCCGUUUCAGGGCAUUUCGGGGCAUUCUUGGGUUGUUUUGGGGGCAUUUUGAGUGUUCUCUUGCGGGUUUUGAGGCCAUUUUUGGGCAUUUUGGGCCGUUCUGUCGGUGCUGACGCUGCCCCGCAGACAUGCGGCGGGACGUGCAGGAGAUGUGGGGUUUUGGGGCUGGUUUUGGGGCCAUUUUGGGGCAUUUUGGGCUGUUUUUUUGGUGCUGACGCUGCCCCGCAGACAUGCGGCGGGACGUGCAGGAGAUUUGGGGCUGGUUUUGGGGCAUUUUGGGGUGUUUUUGGUGCUGACGCUGCCCCGCAGACAUGCGGCGGGACGUGCAGGAGAUUUGGGGCCAUUUUGGGGCAUUUUGGGGUGUUUUUGGUGCUGACGCUGCCCCGCAGACAUGCGGCGGGACGUGCAGGAGAUUCGGGGCUGGUUUUGGGGCCGUUUUGGGGCAUUUUGGGGUGUUUUUUGGUGCUGACGCUGCCCCGCAGACAUGCGGCGGGACGUGCAGGAGAUUUUCCGCAUGACGCCGCACGAGAAGCAGGUGAUGAUGUUCAGCGCCACGCUCAGCAAGGAGAUCCGCCCCGUCUGCCGCAAGUUCAUGCAGGACGUGAGCGCUGAACCCCAAAUUCCUCACCCCCCAAAAUCCCUCACACCCCCCCAAAAUCCCUCACAACCCCCAAAAAAACCCUGACCCCCCAACCCCCAAAUUCCUGCUCCCCCUCUCCUUCCUCCUCCUCCCCGGCGCAAGGAGACAGAGGCAAGGGACCCCCCAGACCCCUCCUGUGACCCCUCCAGACCCCUCCCCAAAUUCCUGACCCCCCUGCGACUCCCCCCCAAAAUUCCUGACCCCUCCCAGCCCCCAAAU
rnacentral:lncRNA from 1 species